CACGUAGGGCGCAAGCGUUGUCCGGAAUUAUUGGGCGUAAAGAGCUCGUAGGUGGUUUGUUACGUCUGCUGUGAAAACCUGGGGCUUAACCCUGGGCUUGCAGUGGAUACGGGCAGACUAGAGGUAGGUAGGGGAGAAUGGAAUUCCUGGUGUAGCGGUGAAAUGCGCAGAUAUCAGGAGGAACACCGGUGGCGAAGGCGGUUCUCUGGGCCUUACCUGACACUGAGGAGCGAAAGCGUGGGGAGCGAACAGG
rnacentral:rRNA from 1 species